UACUGAGUGGCAAACGGGUGAGUAUAAUGUGGGAAUCUGCCUUUUGGUUUGGAAUAACACGAGGAAACUUGUGCUAAUACCGAAUAAGCCCUUACGGGGAAAGUUUUAACGCCGAAAGAUGAGCCCGCACUUGAUUAGCUAGUUGGUAAGGUAAAAGCUUACCAAGGCAAUGAUCAAUAGCUGUUCUUAGAGGAAGACCAGCCACAUUGGGACUGAGACACGGCCCAGACUCCUACGGGAGGCAGCAGUGGGGAAUCUUGCACAAUGGGGGAAACCCUGAUGCAGCGAUGCCGCGUGAGUGAAGAAGGCCUUUGGGUUGUAAAACUCUUUCGUCGGGGAAGAAAAUGACUGUACCCGAAUAAGAAGGUCCGGCUAACUUCGUGCCAGCAGCCGCGGUAAUACGAAGGGACCUAGCGUAGUUCGGAAUUACUGGGCUUAAAGAGCUCGUAGGUGGUUAAAAAAGUUGAUGGUGAAAUCCCAAGGCUCAACCUUGGAACUGCCAUC
rnacentral:rRNA from 1 species